UGGGGAAUUUUGCACAAUGGGGGAAACCCUGAUGCAGCGACGCCGCGUGAUUUAGAAGGCCUUCGGGUUGUAAAAAUCUUUUCUAUGGGAAGAAAAUGACAGUACCAUAGGAAUAAGGACCGGCUAAUUACGUGCCAGCAGCCGCGGUAAUACGUAAGGUCCGAGCGUUGUCCGGAAUCAUUGGGCGUAAAGGGUACGUAGGCGGGUAAGCAAGUUAGAAGUGAAAUCCUAUAGCUCAACUAUAGUAAGCUUUUAAAACUGCUCAUCUUGAGGUAGGGAAGGGAGAGUGGAAUUCCUGGUGUAGCGGUGAAAUGCGCAGAUAUUAGGAGGGAUACCGGUGGCGAAGGCGACUUGCUGGCCAUAACCUGACGCUGAGGUACGAAAGCGUGGGUAGCAAACAGG
rnacentral:rRNA from 1 species